UACAGAGGGUGCAAGCGUUGUUCGGAAUUAUUGGGCGUAAAGGGCGCGUAGGCGGUGCGGUAAGUCUGUAGUGAAAUCCCUCGGCUCAACCGAGGAACGUCGAUCGAUACUGCUGUUCUUGAGGAUUGCAGAGGAGACUGGAAUUCCCGGUGUAGCGGUGAAAUGUGUAGAGAUCGGGAGGAACACCGGUGGCGAAGGCGGGUCUCUGGGCAAUUCCUGACGCUGAGGCGCGAAAGCGUGGGGAGCAAACGGG
rnacentral:rRNA from 1 species